UAAGCGACUAAGCGUACACGGUGGAUGCCCUGGCAGUCAGAGGCGAUGAAGGACGUGCUAAUCUGCGAUAAGCGUCGGUAAGGUGAUAUGAACCGUUAUAACCGGCGAUUUCCGAAUGGGGAAACCCAGUGUGAUUCGUCACACUAUCAUUAACUGAAUCCAUAGGUUAAUGAGGCGAACCGGGGGAACUGAAACAUCUAAGUACCCCGAGGAAAAGAAAUCAACCGAGAUUCCCCAGUAGCGGCGAGCGAACGGGGAGGAGCCCAGAGCCUGAAUCAGUGUGUGUGUUAGUGGAAGCGUCUGGAAAGGCGCGCGAUACAGGGUGACAGCCCCGUACACAAAAAUGCACAUGCUGUGAGCUCGAUGAGUAGGGCGGGGCACGUGGUAUCCUGUCUGAAUAUGGGGGGACCAUCCUCCAAGGCUAAAUACUCCUGACUGACCGAUAGUGAACCAGUACCGUGAGGGAAAGGCGAAAAGAACCCCGGCGAGGGGAGUGAAAAAGAACCUGAAACCGUGUACGUACAAGCAGUGGGAGCACAGAGCAAUCUGUGUGACUGCGUACCUUUUGUAUAAUGGGUCAGCGACUUAUAUUCUGUAGCAAGGUUAACCGAAUAGGGGAGCCGAAGGGAAACCGAGUCUUAACUGGGCGUUAAGUUGCAGGGUAUAGACCCGAAACCCGGUGAUCUAGCCAUGGGCAGGUUGAAGGUUGGGUAACACUAACUGGAGGACCGAACCGACUAAUGUUGAAAAAUUAGCGGAUGACUUGUGGCUGGGGGUGAAAGGCCAAUCAAACCGGGAGAUAGCUGGUUCUCCCGAAAGCUAUUUAGGUAGCGCCUCGUGAAUUCAUCUCCGGGGGUAGAGCACUGUUUCGGCAAGGGGGUCAUCCCGACUUACCAACCCGAUGCAAACUGCGAAUACCGGAGAAUGUUAUCACGGGAGACACACGGCGGGUGCUAACGUCCGUCGUGAAGAGGGAAACAACCCAGACCGCCAGCUAAGGUCCCAAAGUCAUGGUUAAGUGGGAAACGAUGUGGGAAGGCCCAGACAGCCAGGAUGUUGGCUUAGAAGCAGCCAUCAUUUAAAGAAAGCGUAAUAGCUCACUGGUCGAGUCGGCCUGCGCGGAAGAUGUAACGGGGCUAAACCAUGCACCGAAGCUGCGGCAGCGACACUGUGUGUUGUUGGGUAGGGGAGCGUUCUGUAAGCCUGUGAAGGUGUGCUGUGAGGCAUGCUGGAGGUAUCAGAAGUGCGAAUGCUGACAUAAGUAACGAUAAAGCGGGUGAAAAGCCCGCUCGCCGGAAGACCAAGGGUUCCUGUCCAACGUUAAUCGGGGCAGGGUGAGUCGACCCCUAAGGCGAGGCCGAAAGGCGUAGUCGAUGGGAAACAGGUUAAUAUUCCUGUACUUGGUGUUACUGCGAAGGGGGGACGGAGAAGGCUAUGUUGGCCGGGCGACGGUUGUCCCGGUUUAAGCGUGUAGGCUGGUUUUCCAGGCAAAUCCGGAAAAUCAAGGCUGAGGCGUGAUGACGAGGCACUACGGUGCUGAAGCAACAAAUGCCCUGCUUCCAGGAAAAGCCUCUAAGCACCAGGUAACAUCAAAUCGUACCCCAAACCGACACAGGUGGUCAGGUAGAGAAUACCAAGGCGCUUGAGAGAACUCGGGUGAAGGAACUAGGCAAAAUGGUGCCGUAACUUCGGGAGAAGGCACGCUGAUAUGUAGGUGAAGUCCCUCGCGGAUGGAGCUGAAAUCAGUCGAAGAUACCAGCUGGCUGCAACUGUUUAUUAAAAACACAGCACUGUGCAAACACGAAAGUGGACGUAUACGGUGUGACGCCUGCCCGGUGCCGGAAGGUUAAUUGAUGGGGUCAGCGCAAGCGAAGCUCUUGAUCGAAGCCCCGGUAAACGGCGGCCGUAACUAUAACGGUCCUAAGGUAGCGAAAUUCCUUGUCGGGUAAGUUCCGACCUGCACGAAUGGCGUAAUGAUGGCCAGGCUGUCUCCACCCGAGACUCAGUGAAAUUGAACUCGCUGUGAAGAUGCAGUGUACCCGCGGCAAGACGGAAAGACCCCGUGAACCUUUACUAUAGCUUGACACUGAACAUUGAGCCUUGAUGUGUAGGAUAGGUGGGAGGCUUUGAAGUGUGGACGCCAGUCUGCAUGGAGCCGACCUUGAAAUACCACCCUUUAAUGUUUGAUGUUCUAACGUGGACCCGUGAUCCGGGUUGCGGACAGUGUCUGGUGGGUAGUUUGACUGGGGCGGUCUCCUCCUAAAGAGUAACGGAGGAGCACGAAGGUUGGCUAAUCCUGGUCGGACAUCAGGAGGUUAGUGCAAUGGCAUAAGCCAGCUUGACUGCGAGCGUGACGGCGCGAGCAGGUGCGAAAGCAGGUCAUAGUGAUCCGGUGGUUCUGAAUGGAAGGGCCAUCGCUCAACGGAUAAAAGGUACUCCGGGGAUAACAGGCUGAUACCGCCCAAGAGUUCAUAUCGACGGCGGUGUUUGGCACCUCGAUGUCGGCUCAUCACAUCCUGGGGCUGAAGUAGGUCCCAAGGGUAUGGCUGUUCGCCAUUUAAAGUGGUACGCGAGCUGGGUUUAGAACGUCGUGAGACAGUUCGGUCCCUAUCUGCCGUGGGCGCUGGAGAACUGAGGGGGGCUGCUCCUAGUACGAGAGGACCGGAGUGGACGCAUCACUGGUGUUCGGGUUGUCAUGCCAAUGGCACUGCCCGGUAGCUAAAUGCGGAAGAGAUAAGUGCUGAAAGCAUCUAAGCACGAAACUUGCCCCGAGAUGAGUUCUCCCUGACCCUUUAAGGGUCCUGAAGGAACGUUGAAGACGACGACGUUGAUAGGCCGGGUGUGUAAGCGCAGCGAUGCGUUGAGCUAACCGGUACUAAUGAACCGUGAGGCUUAACCU
rnacentral:rRNA from 1 species